rnacentral:rRNA from 1 species
CUACGGGUGGCUGCAGUGAGGAAUAUUGCACAAUGGGGGGAACCCUGAUGCAGCAACGCCGCGUGGAGGAUGACGCAUUUCGGUGUGUAAACUCCUUUUAUAUGUCAAGAAAAUGACGGUAGCAUAUGAAUAAGCACCGGCUAACUCCGUGCCAGCAGCUGCGGUAAUACGGAGGGUGCAAGCGUUACUCGGAAUCACUGGGCGUAAAGGACGCGUAGGCGGGUUGGAAAGUCAGGUGUGAAAUCCUACAGCUUAACUGUAGAACUGCACUUGAAACUUCUAAUCUAGAGUAUGGGAGGGGGAGAUGGAAUUAGUGGUGUAGGGGUAAAAUCCGUAGACAUCACUAGGAAUACCUAAAGCGAAGGCGAUCUCCUGGAACAUUACUGACGCUAAGGCGUGAAAGCGUGGGGAGCAAACAGGAUUAGAUACCCCCGUAGUC